rnacentral:rRNA from 1 species
AUUUGGGUGAGAAUAAGCCAUGCGAGUUGAAUGGGAUACCUAAAGUUCCCAUAGCAAACUGCUCAGUAACACAUGAUCAACUUACCCUAUAGAGAAAAAUAACCUCGGGAAACUGAGGAUAAUGUUUCAUAAUUGAAUUGGCUUGGAAAAGUUUUUCAAUGAAAAGGAUAAAAAAAAUGGUUUUUAUCUGCUAUAGGAUAGGAUCGUGUUCGAUUAUGGUUGUUGGUGAGAUAAUGGCUCACCAAGCCGAUAAUCGAUAGGGGCCGUGAGAGCGGGAGCCCCCCGAUGGUUGCUGCUGAGACAACGACCGAGGCCUUACGAGGCGCAGCAGGCGCGGAACCUCCGCAAUACACGAAAGUGUGACGGGGUUACCCAAAGUGUUCAAUAGAACUGUGGUAGGUGAGUAAUGUCCCCUACUAGAAAGGAGAGGGCAAGGCUGGUGCCAGCCGCCGCGGUAAAACCAGCUCUUCAAGUGGUCGGGAUAAUAUUGGGCUUAAAGUGUCCGUAGCCGGUUUAGUAAGUUCCUGGUAAAAUCGGGUAGCUUAACUAUCUGCAUGCUAGGAAUACUGCUAUACUAGAGGGCGGGAGAGGUCUGAGGUACUACAGGGGUAGGGGUGAAACCUUAUAAUCCUUGUAGGACCACCAGUGGCGAAGGCGUCAGACUGGAACGCGCCUGACGGUGAGGGACGAAAGCCAGGGGAGCGAACCGGAUUAGAUACCCGGGUAGUCCUGGCCGUAAACGAUGCAUACUAGGUGAUGGUACGGCCAUGAGCCGUAUCAGUGCCGUAGGGAAACCGUUAGGUGUGCCGCCUGGGAAGUACGGUCGCAAGGCUAAAACUUAAAGGAAUUGGCGGGGGAGCACCACAAGGGGUGAAGCCUGCGGUCCA